ACGGUACAGGUCUUCGGAUGCUGACGAGUGGCGGACGGGUGAGUAAUGCGUAGGAAUCUGUCUUUGAGUGGGGGACAACCCAGGGAAACUUGGGCUAAUACCGCAUAAGCCCUGAGGGGGAAAGCGGGGGAUCUUCGGACCUCGCGCUGGAAGAGGAGCCUACGUCUGAUUAGCUAGUUGGUAGGGUAAAGGCCUACCAAGGCGACGAUCGGUAGCUGGUCUGAGAGGACGACCAGCCACACUGGGACUGAGACACGGCCCAGACUCCUACGGGAGGCAGCAGUGGGGAAUUUUUCGCAAUGGGGGCAACCCUGACGAAGCAAUGCCGCGUGAAUGAAGAAGGCCUUCGGGUUGUAAAGUUCUUUCGUGGAGGACGAAAAGGUGGGUGCUAAUAUCGCCUGCUGUUGACGUGAAUCCAAGAAGAAGCGCCGGCUAACUCCGUGCCAGCCGCCGCGGUAAUAC
rnacentral:rRNA from 1 species